UAGUAUGUUGUAGAGUCGCUAUGGAGUCGGUACGAUAUUGUGUUGUACUAAGAGAGAAAGGCGUGUACUGAUUUGUUAGUCAAUGUUCUAUUAUGAUUGAUCGUUUGGAAUAUUUUGAAAUGUGAUUGUCGAUGCGUGUUUGACCUAUAAAUCAGUUUGAUUGAUGUGCCUUAUUGUGUCAUGAGAUUAGAGAAGUGUUUGUUGAAUGAGUUGUAUGAUUGUUGGGAUUUGAAUGGUUGCAAUUUAGAAUUUGAACGAGGAAGUGACUGCAACGCAAGGGGUGGAAAUGCAGACUGCAACGCAAGGGGUGGUAAUGCAGAGACCCAAAUAAUGGGUGAUGUUGACUGCAACGCAAGGGGUGGAAAUGCAGACUGCAACGCAAGGGAUGGAAAUGCAGAGUGGUUGAGAUUAUGAGAAGUGUCGAAAUGGUUGCGAACCUAUUGAACACUACAUGGACACAGUCUUGGAGGGUGUGAAGUGCAUGCUGACAUCGCAGGCUAAAGUUAUUUUCUGAAGAACUUGUCUUUCCCUUGUAAAUCAAACUGUAUUGUACUAUUUUCUCUAAUUUGGAAUACUGUAUCAAUUGACAAAAUUGUGAGAUUUAGAAACUGUAUGUUGUAAUUUGGGGUACCGUAUGUACUAUUGUGAGGAUUUGUAUUUAAAAUGGUAUUGUUAUUUAUGUUAAAAA